rnacentral:misc_RNA from 1 species
GAUGAAGAACGUAGCGAAAUGCGAUAAGUAAUGUGAAUUGCAGAAUUCAGUGAAUCAUCGAAUCUUUGAACGCACAUUGCGCCCUCUGGUAUUCCGGAGGGCAUGCCUGUUCGAGCGUCAUUUCAACCCUCAAGCAUUGCUUGGUGUUGGGGCACCGCCUGUAAAAGGGCGGGCCCUGAAAUCUAGUGGCGAGCUCGCCAGGACCCCGAGCGUAGUAAUUAUAUUUCGUUCUGGAAGGCCCUGGCGGUGCCCUGCCGUUAAACCCCCAACUUCUGAAAAUUUGACCUCGGAUCAGGUAGGAAUACCCGCUGAACUUAAGCAUAUCAAUAAGCGGAGGA